CCAGGUAUGGUGACAUGGUCCCAAAGACCAUCGCUGGGAAGAUCUUCGGUUCCAUCUGCUCUCUGAGCGGCGUGCUGGUGAUCGCUCUGCCUGUCCCUGUGAUCGUCUCCAAC